GAUUCGCUAGUAAUCGCGCAUCAGCCACGGCGCGGUGAAUACGUUCCCGGGCCUUGUACACACCGCCCGUCAAGCCAUGGAAGCCGGGAGUGCCUGAAGUGCGUGACCGCAAGGAGCGUCCUAAGGCAAUACCGGUGACUGGGGCUAAGUCGUAACAAGGUAUC
rnacentral:rRNA from 1 species